GAAAUUAUGUUACUGUAGUGAUUUUGUUCACUUGUUUUUGACUGAUUCAAAAACAAAAAUGGGCGGCUACAGUGGUGAUUCUUCAAAAUCUUCAGCUGAAUCUAACUUUCGUGAACUUGAUGAUGUGUUCUUGCAGACUCAAACAAGGAUAUGGCUUGGGGAAGUGUUGAAAAUGAGAUUGGAUGAGCACUUGCAUAUUUCUGAUUUGCUUGCUGAUGGGGAUCUUUUGUUUGAAGUUGCCAAAGAAUUAUGGAAUAUGCUAUUGGCAAAGUGUGGAGAGCUAAGACAUAUGAAGUAUGAACCACUUGGUUCACGGAAAUGCAGUGGGAGAUAUAUGCCAUAUUCUAAUGUUGACUCAUUUUUAA
rnacentral:misc_RNA from 1 species